rnacentral:rRNA from 1 species
GAUGAACGCUGGCGGCGUGCCUAAUACAUGCAAGUCGAGCGAACAGACGAGGAGCUUGCUCCUCUGACGUUAGCGGCGGACGGGUGAGUAACACGUGGAUAACCUACCUAUAAGACUGGGAUAACUUCGGGAAACCGGAGCUAAUACCGGAUAAUAUAUUGAACCGCAUGGUUCAAUAGUGAAAGACGGUUUUGCUGUCACUUAUAGCUGGAUCCGCGCCGCAUUAGCUAGUUGGUAAGGUAACGGCUUAUCAAGGCGACGAUGCGUAGCCGACCUGAGAGAGUGAUCGGCCACACUGGAACUGAGACACGGACCAGACUCCUACGGGAGGCAGCAGUAGGGAAUCGUCCGCAAUGGGCGAAAGCCUGACGGAGCAACGCCGCGUGAGUGAUGAAGGUCUUCGGAGCGUAAAACUCUGUUAUUAGGGAAGAACAAAUGUGUAAGUAACUAUGCACGUCUUGACGGUACCUAAUCAGAAAGCCACGGCUAACUACGUG